GUGGGGAAUAUUGGACAAUGGGCGAAAGCCUGAUCCAGCCAUGCCGCGUGUGUGAAGAAGGUCUUCGGAUUGUAAAGCACUUUAAGUUGGGAGGAAGGGCAGUAAGUUAAUACCUUGCUGUUUUGACGUUACCGACAGAAUAAGCACCGGCUAACUUCGUGCCAGCAGCCGCGGUAAUACGAAGGGUGCAAGCGUUAAUCGGAAUUACUGGGCGUAAAGCGCGCGUAGGUGGUUUUGUAAGUUGGAGGUGAAAUCCCCGGGCUCAACCUGGGAACUGCCUCGAAAACUGCAUGACUAGAGUACGGUAGAGGGUAGUGGAAUUUCCUGUGUAGCGGUGAAAUGCGUAGAUAUAGGAAGGAACACCAGUGGCGAAGGCGACUACCUGGACUGAUACUGACACUGAGGUGCGAAAGCGUGGGGAGCAAACAGGAUUAGAUACCCGAGUAGUCC
rnacentral:rRNA from 1 species